rnacentral:rRNA from 1 species
GAGCAAGAACCUGCGAACUUGUCUAUAUACUCUCGGGGAUGUGCGGGUUGUGACCAUGUUGUCCUGCCAUGCAUUUUCCCCCUUGCGAGUGCAUGAGCAUGGGACUUUCGGGAAACGUGUUCAUUUACUUGUCAAACAACGAACCCCGGCGCAAGACGCGCCAAGGAAAAUUGAACAAGAGUGCACGUCCAUGCCCGUUUGCGGGUGGUGUCGGCGUAUGCAAUCUUUCGUAUAACUAAACGACUCUCGGCAACGGAUAUCUCGGCUCUUGCAUCGAUGAAGAACGUAGCGAAAUGCGAUACUUGGUGUGAAUUGCAGAAUCCCGUGAACCAUCGAGUCUUUGAACGCAAGUUGCGCCCGAAGCCAUUAGGUUGAAGGCACGUCUGCCUGGGCGUCACGCAUUGCGUCACCCACUCACCCCGUGCCUCGGUGGGCAUGUCGGUGCGUGGGUGGAUAUUGGCCCCCCGUUCACAUUUGUGCUCGGUCGGCCUAAAAAAAGGGUCCCCAACGACGGACAUCACGACAAGUGGUGGUUGCCAAACCGUCGCGUCAUGUCGUGCAUGCCAUUGUUUGUUGUGGGUUGGCUCAU